rnacentral:rRNA from 1 species
CCACACCACCCUGAACGCGCCCGAUCUCAUCUGAUCUUGGAUGCUAAACUGGGUCAUGCCUGGUUAGUACUUGGACGGGAGAUCUAACUCUCUUAAUCUCCCUCUCUGCUAACCAGGACUGGU